rnacentral:rRNA from 1 species
UGGGGAAUAUUGCACAAUGGGCGCAAGCCUGAUGCAGCAACGCCGCGUGAACGAUGAAGGUCUUCGGAUCGUAAAGUUCUGUUGCAGGGGAAGAUAAUGACGGUACCCUGUGAGGAAGCCCCGGCUAACUACGUGCCAGCAGCCGCGGUAAUACGUAGGGGGCUAGCGUUAUCCGGAUUUACUGGGCGUAAAGGGUGCGUAGGUGGUCUUUCAAGUCGGUGGUUAAAGGCUACGGCUCAACCGUAGUUAGCCUCCGAAACUGGAAGACUUGAGUGCAGGAGAGGAAAGUGGAAUUCCCAGUGUAGCGGUGAAAUGCGUAGAUAUUGGGAGGAACACCAGUAGCGAAGGCGGAUUGCUGGACUGCAACUGACACUGAGGAACGAAAGCGUGGGUAGCAAACAGG